GUCUAUGGCCAGGUCACCUUGAACGUGCCCGAUCUCGUCAGAUCUUGGAACCUAAGCAGGGUUCGGCCUGGUUAGUACUUGAAUGAGAGACCACCUAGGAAGACCAGAUGCUGUAGUUC
ensembl:rRNA 5S_rRNA 5S ribosomal RNA